ensembl:lncRNA
CUCGGUGAUGCUGUGGGUCCUUUGGUGGCCCCAUUGGGUCCCUCAGUGGCACCGUUGGGUCCCUCGGUGAUGCUAUGGGUCCUUUGGUGGCCCCAUUGGGUCCCUCGGUGGCAUUGUUGGGUCCCUUGGUGAUGCUGUGGGUCCCUCAGUGGCACUGUUGGGUCCUUCGGUGGCACUGUGGGUCCCUCGGUGAUGCUGUGGGUCCUUUGGUGGUACUGUUGGGUCCCUCAGUGGCACUGUUGGGUCCUUCAGUGGCACUGUUGGUCCCUCAGUGGCCCCGCUGGGUCCUCUGGUGGCCCCAUUGGGUCCCUCAGUGGCACUGUUGGGUCCCUCGGUGAGGCUGUGGGUCCUCUGGUGGCCCCAUUGGGUCCCUUGGUGGCACUGUUGGGUCCCUCACUGGCUCUGUUGGGUUCCUUGGUGAUACUGUGGGUCCCUCAGUGUCCCCAUUGGGUCCCUUGGUGGCACUGUUGGGUCCCUUGGUGAUGCUGUGGGUCCUUUGGUGGCACUGUUGGGUCCUUGGGUGAUGCUGUUAUCCUUGGUGACACCUUUGGGUCCCUUGGUGACAUUGUGCAUCCAUCAGUGACACUGUCAUUCCAUGGUGUCCUUUGCCCAGUCCCUUGGUGACAUUGCUGGGUCCCUUCUUGUCCCUUGGUGACACUGUUGGGUUCCUCAGUGACACUGUCAUCCUUGGUGACACUGCUGGGUCCCUCGGUGUCAUUGUUCCAUUAGGGUCUUGGUCUCAUAGAAUCCCAUCCCCACUGUGCCAUUGUGCCCCGUGGGGUCUUGAUCCCAUAGGGAUCUGUUCCUGUUGUGCCCUUUAGGGUCCUGAUCCCAUAGGGAUACAUCCCCACCAUGCCCAUAUGCCCUAUGGGGUUUUCAUCCCAUGGAGACCUGUUGCCAUGGAGCCAGAUGGGGUCUCGAUCCCAUGGGGACCCACCCCUACCAUUCCCAUAUGCCCCAUGGGGUCUUGAUCCCAUAGGAUCCCAUCCCCACUAUGGAUGUGUGCCCUUUGGGGUCUUGAUCCCAUAGAGACCCAUCCCCCCCUUUGCC